rnacentral:rRNA from 1 species
GGGUUGUGAGGUUAAGCGACUAAGCGUACACGGUGGAUGCCCUGGCAGUCAGAGGCGAUGAAGGACGUGCUAAUCUGCGAUAAGCGUCGGUAAGGUGAUAUGAACCGUUAUAACCGGCGAUUUCCGAAUGGGGAAACCCAGUGUGAUUCGUCACACUAUCAUUAACUGAAUCCAUAGGUUAAUGAGGCGAACCGGGGGAACUGAAACAUCUAAGUACCCCGAGGAAAAGAAAUCAACCGAGAUUCCCCCAGUAGCGGCGAGCGAACGGGGAGCAGCCCAGAGCCUGAAUCAGUGUGUGUGUUAGUGGAAGCGUCUGGAAAGGCGCGCGAUACAGGGUGACAGCCCCGUACACAAAAAUGCACAUGCUGUGAGCUCGAUGAGUAGGGCGGGACACGUGGUAUCCUGUCUGAAUAUGGGGGGACCAUCCUCCAAGGCUAAAUACUCCUGACUGACCGAUAGUGAACCAGUACCGUGAGGGAAAGGCGAAAAGAACCCCGGCGAGGGGAGUGAAAAAGAACCUGAAACCGUGUACGUACAAGCAGUGGGAGCACGCUUAGGCGUGUGACUGCGUACCUUUUGUAUAAUGGGUCAGCGACUUAUAUUCUGUAGCAAGGUUAACCGAAUAGGGGAGCCGAAGGGAAACCGAGUCUUAACUGGGCGUUAAGUUGCAGGGUAUAGACCCGAAACCCGGUGAUCUAGCCAUGGGCAGGUUGAAGGUUGGGUAACACUAACUGGAGGACCGAACCGACUAAUGUUGAAAAAUUAGCGGAUGACUUGUGGCUGGGGGUGAAAGGCCAAUCAAACCGGGAGAUAGCUGGUUCUCCCCGAAAGCUAUUUAGGUAGCGCCUCGUGAAUUCAUCUCCGGGGGUAGAGCACUGUUUCGGCAAGGGGGUCAUCCCGACUUACCAACCCGAUGCAAACUGCGAAUACCGGAGAAUGUUAUCACGGGAGACACACGGCGGGUGCUAACGUCCGUCGUGAAGAGGGAAACAACCCAGACCGCCAGCUAAGGUCCCAAAGUCAUGGUUAAGUGGGAAACGAUGUGGGAAGGCCCAGACAGCCAGGAUGUUGGCUUAGAAGCAGCCAUCAUUUAAAGAAAGCGUAAUAGCUCACUGGUCGAGUCGGCCUGCGCGGAAGAUGUAACGGGGCUAAACCAUGCACCGAAGCUGCGGCAGCGACGCUUAUGCGUUGUUGGGUAGGGGAGCGUUCUGUAAGCCUGUGAAGGUGUGCUGUGAGGUAUGCUGGAGGUAUCAGAAGUGCGAAUGCUGACAUAAGUAACGAUAAAGCGGGUGAAAAGCCCGCUCGCCGGAAGACCAAGGGUUCCUGUCCAACGUUAAUCGGGGCAGGGUGAGUCGACCCCUAAGGCGAGGCCGAAAGGCGUAGUCGAUGGGAAACAGGUUAAUAUUCCUGUACUUGGUGUUACUGCGAAGGGGGGACGGAGAAGGCUAUGUUGGCCGGGCGACGGUUGUCCCGGUUUAAGCGUGUAGGCUGGUUUUCCAGGCAAAUCCGGAAAAUCAAGGCUGAGGCGUGAUGACGAGGCACUACGGUGCUGAAGCAACAAAUGCCCUGCUUCCAGGAAAAGCCUCUAAGCAUCAGGUAACAUCAAAUCGUACCCCAAACCGACACAGGUGGUCAGGUAGAGAAUACCAAGGCGCUUGAGAGAACUCGGGUGAAGGAACUAGGCAAAAUGGUGCCGUAACUUCGGGAGAAGGCACGCUGAUAUGUAGGUGAAGUGAUUUACUCAUGGAGCUGAAAUCAGUCGAAGAUACCAGCUGGCUGCAACUGUUUAUUAAAAACACAGCACUGUGCAAACACGAAAGUGGACGUAUACGGUGUGACGCCUGCCCGGUGCCGGAAGGUUAAUUGAUGGGGUCAGCGCAAGCGAAGCUCUUGAUCGAAGCCCCGGUAAACGGCGGCCGUAACUAUAACGGUCCUAAGGUAGCGAAAUUCCUUGUCGGGUAAGUUCCGACCUGCACGAAUGGCGUAAUGAUGGCCAGGCUGUCUCCACCCGAGACUCAGUGAAAUUGAACUCGCUGUGAAGAUGCAGUGUACCCGCGGCAAGACGGAAAGACCCCGUGAACCUUUACUAUAGCUUGACACUGAACAUUGAGCCUUGAUGUGUAGGAUAGGUGGGAGGCUUUGAAGUGUGGACGCCAGUCUGCAUGGAGCCGACCUUGAAAUACCACCCUUUAAUGUUUGAUGUUCUAACGUUGACCCGUAAUCCGGGUUGCGGACAGUGUCUGGUGGGUAGUUUGACUGGGGCGGUCUCCUCCUAAAGAGUAACGGAGGAGCACGAAGGUUGGCUAAUCCUGGUCGGACAUCAGGAGGUUAGUGCAAUGGCAUAAGCCAGCUUGACUGCGAGCGUGACGGCGCGAGCAGGUGCGAAAGCAGGUCAUAGUGAUCCGGUGGUUCUGAAUGGAAGGGCCAUCGCUCAACGGAUAAAAGGUACUCCGGGGAUAACAGGCUGAUACCGCCCAAGAGUUCAUAUCGACGGCGGUGUUUGGCACCUCGAUGUCGGCUCAUCACAUCCUGGGGCUGAAGUAGGUCCCAAGGGUAUGGCUGUUCGCCAUUUAAAGUGGUACGCGAGCUGGGUUUAGAACGUCGUGAGACAGUUCGGUCCCUAUCUGCCGUGGGCGCUGGAGAACUGAGGGGGGCUGCUCCUAGUACGAGAGGACCGGAGUGGACGCAUCACUGGUGUUCGGGUUGUCAUGCCAAUGGCACUGCCCGGUAGCUAAAUGCGGAAGAGAUAAGUGCUGAAAGCAUCUAAGCACGAAACUUGCCCCGAGAUGAGUUCUCCCUGACUCCUUGAGAGUCCUGAAGGAACGUUGAAGACGACGACGUUGAUAGGCCGGGUGUGUAAGCGCAGCGAUGCGUUGAGCUAACCGGUACUAAUGAACCGUGAGGCUUAACCUUACAACGCCGAAGCUGUU